CCCAUUUUUCAUCAGCCGUUUUCUACAUAUCCAACUUUUCCCUCUCAAAUUUCUCUAACCUUCUCCAAACCACAUACACAUCCCUUCCCCCCUAAUUCUUGAAAUCCCUGCAUAUACUCAUCAGUACAUUUAAGAACCAUACCACAAUUUCAAACUCUUAGCAUCUUGUUCUCUUUGGUUGAACCAACCGGCCACCACAAGCGGCGGCGCUGUGGUGGUGGCGUCGGGAGGUUAUCACGAGCGAGAAAGGAAGACAAGAGAGAGAGAGAAGUCGGAAGCACUCUCCGGCUACGUCUACGGCGGUGGACGACGGUGGCAGCAGUGGUGGUUCGCGGCUCGGGUUAUUUCGGUUCAGUCCGCACCGGUCCAACUGGUUCAGGUUAUGUUCGUGUUCAGUUCCGUUUUUCGAUAGCCGACGACGGCGAUGACAUUGGGUUGGCUCGGGUCUGCUCAAGGGUUUGGUUCGAGCUCAGCUUAGUUUCAAGUCAGCCUCGGGUCUCGGUUCCGUUUCAGUCGGGUUUGGGUCACUCGGUUCAAGUUCGGGUUCAUGCUCAUCUUCGAUCAACUGUUGGUCAACACCAGAUUCGCAUCGGGUUCGAGUCGACAUCAGUCAACAGCAGUUGGUUCGGUUUCGGCUCGAGUCAAAUCUGGUCAAACACGAUGCUUGGGUGACUUCAGUGUUCCAUCCUCCUAAUCUCAUGCACUCGUCAACACUUGGAUAAUCGGAAGACUUAGCAAUUCCGUUGAUGAUGGCGAUGCUAUUAAAAGAAGUAGCGUUGAUGCCU
rnacentral:lncRNA from 1 species